GGGGACGCGUGGUUUCGACAGGGGAAGUAGACUGCAGGACUGCAGGCUGAGGUGCCACUACCCUCAUUAAACCAGUGGCUGAAACUAACUGGCGAACCAGAAUUAGUUCUUGCUGCCUAACUAAACGGGUGGCACAUCCAACCUGACCCCACCCCAGCGGGUUGGGAUUGGAUGCCGAAAAGUUGGGGUGCCGCCGCUGGGACGUCGAUAAAAGCGGUGAAAGAAACAUCGACUGGCCUGACUAAACUCGGUCAGCAGAGGUUAGCCGGGCAAGAUAAAAGAGCUGACUAAUCCUGUAGCAGGUUCUGGGCCGCUUCUUCUGGACGGGGAGUUCGACUCUCCCCCGUCUCCACCA
rnacentral:tmRNA from 2 species